GGCUAAAUUCCAAAUUUUAGCUCAUUCGCUUGAAGUUUGUGUUGAGUACCCCUCGUCUGAGUGCUUAGUCAAAUGACAGCACAAAUACAUUCAACGCACAUGAUGUAACAUACCUUAAAUAAACCGAGCUUGCGCUCGAGUCGGUCUCUUUUACCGCUGAACUCCAAACGGACGACAUCGUACUUUCUGCUCUGCAAACCUUAUCACAACACAACUCUCAUCUCUAAAUCCCGGUUGUUUUAAUUGGCGACGAAGGAGUGAAGAACUACGCGAGCGAUUUUUUUCUUUCGGUGGUGUAUUUAAUCGGACAGUUUUUAUUAUCAAUUUUUCCUUUGCGGGAUUGAAACGAUCGUCCUGUUCGGGUGUGCACGCAUCGGGGAAGAAAUUUGCUAGCCAUUGUGUGCGAGUAGCGGUGGCACCAUUUUGUUUUCUACAAACCGACGCCGAGUGAGCAGCAGCAAAAAACCGAGGAUUCUGUCGGUGUGCCUGGAAGUGCGGUACCUGUUGGCCGGAGAUUCGCAUCGGAACGGUUGCAGCACGGCGAAUUCCGUGGUUCGGGCGGCAAGUGGCACGAUUUUGCGCGGCGUAUUCCGGUGGAUUUUUGCUGAUUCGGUGCGGUGAAGGUUCUGCUUUUUGCGGUGGUGUGGAGCGUCGUCAGUUCCGGCGGCAUUUUUGGGACAAAGGAGAGCGUUCGUUGGCGGCGGUGGCCAGGCGAUUUGUUCUUGGACCGGGAGAAAGCAGCUUUGGUAAGCUAGGGCAAUUGGGGUCAAGUGAUCUUUUGCCAAAAAUAAUUUCAAUAAAAAAAAUAAUUCCUUAGCAAGUAUCACUGAGGAGUUUGUGAGGAAAAAUUCAUGUGAGCUUAUUAAUCUAAACCGUGUGAGCUUAUUAAUCUAAAACCGGGUUGCUUUGUAAGUGUGUGUGUGAAUCUUUUGUUCGUUUGAACAAAGGGUUUCGCCAUUUUAUUUAUUGGUUCAUUAAGAGAGUUUUUCUUUUUCUUUAAUUUAGUAAGGCCAAAUCGCCACGGUGUAAUUCAGCUGUUUGAGCCGGUGCACAAACUUUUGCUUCGCUGAACGACGUUUUCCUGUGCUGGUGCACGGUGCGCACGACGAGUUUGUGCAGGAGGUUAAGUUUGCUUGCUGGCAAAGGCCGGGUGCGAGAUCGACAUGGGUUCGAACGGGUUAGCUACCUCUAUUGAGAUGUUUAGAAAGGGUACGUCAUUUACGGACUGGUCCGAUCGACUGGCCUAUACCUUUCACGCAAAUCAAGUUGCGGCUGAUCGCCAAAAAUCGCAUUUCAUGACGAUUUGCGGACCGUUUCUUUUUUCUCAAUUAAAGCUGCACUACAGCAAAGAUGAGCUGGAUAAAGCCUCUUAUGCUGAUAUUGUGUUAAAACUGAAACAAAAAUUGGACAAAACGGAGCCGGACUUAGUCCAGCGCUUUCGUUUUAGUCAACGAAACCAGCAACAUGAUGAAUCCAUUGAGGAUUUCGUGCAGGCGGUCAAGCUGCAGGCGGAAUUCUGUGGUUUUGGGGCGUUUAAGGACGUGGCCAUCAUGGACAGGGUUCUGGCGGGUCUUCUUGACGGGAAUCUAAAAGAGAAUUUGCUGAAGGAGGAAGGUUUGACUUUGGACAAGAUGGACAACUUCAUAACAACAUGGAACAUAGCAAAACAAAACGUUAAAGCGUUAAACAAUCAACCUGGAGGAUCUCAAUUGGGACAGUACAGUUACUUUACACCAGAACAAAUUCAUUACAUUCAAAAGACAACAACACAAAGACAAGGGUCUUCACGGUACGGAAAUUACAGACAAAAUGAUGGGUUGCAAAAUUUUCCAGAAAGGCGAAACAAUUCCAGAUUUCAGCCUUAUAAAAACUACAAUUCUGAUUCUCAAGUUUACACUAACCGAAGGUUCAAUAACCAAACACAACAACAAAGGUAUUUUGACAAAAGCUAUGAUAGGAGAUAUCUUCAGACUAGAAUUUCGUGUGAUUUUUGUGGAAAAAUGGGUCAUUCUAAGCAAAAUUGCUUCAAACUUGAUUACUUCAACAGACAAUUUGUGAAUUUCAUGGGUGAGAGUACUGCAGAUGAUUAUUCCUGCAAUGAAGGUGGUGAAAUUGAGUACGCAAAUGCGGAAAUGUUCAACCAAAUAGAAAACUUUCAAGAUAAUAAUGACCAAUGCAUGAAAAUUUUUACUGUUUUGAACACAACAUAUGUUAAGCUGGAUGAAACACAAAUAGAGGACCAAAUGGUUGAUUUUGAAGUUGAUGUUAGUUGCUUGUUGAAUGACAGCACAUUUUCUAUACCAAUUGAUGAUGAUAGUUAUGCUGACAUUGAAUUGAAAAGUUUGUUUACCCCGAAUUGGGAGGAUGAUUCGAUUUUGGAUUUGAACGAUUUGUUUGAUAAAACUUGUUAUAAUAUUGAUGAAAAUUGUGAUGAUGCCCUGAAUUGGGAUGAAAAUUUGUUUUGUGGUUUUGGAUUUUUACAUGAUGGUGGUGAAUGUGAGAAUGUAGGUUUUAAUGAACUUUUAGCAGAUGUCAGCGUGAGUUUUGAAGGUGCCCCAAAUUGGGAAGAAAAUGUUGUGUGUGGUUUGAAUAAUUUAUUUUUGUAUGACGAUGUUUUGGAUAUGAAACAAGAUGUGAUGUUGGAAAAUAACGUGGGUUCGAUUGAACAUAAUUUUGAUACCAAAAGGAAUAUUUCAAGCAAUGCAAUAGCAGCAAAUUUAUAUUAUACCUCAAAUUGGGAAGACAGUGACAAUUUUGAUUUGGAAUGUUUAUUUACCACUAAUGUUAACUCAAAUCAAGCAAAUCUUGAUAACUGUGAGAGUUCGGACAAAAAGCUGCUGAUUGGCAAUGAUGGUUGUGGAAUUGAGUGUUGUAUUGAUGAUGUUCAGAAUUUGAUUUUAACCCCAAUUUGGGGAAUGUUUCAAGAAAGUUCGGAAAGUGUUUGUUUCGGAAAAGUAUUAUUUGACGAAGUUUCUGAGAUGUCAGAGCGAAAAGGUAGUAGUUUAAGUUUAACGCUAUGUAAAUCUAAUUUGAAAAACGAGCAUGAUAUGCAAGACAUUGAAUUGAUGAUAAUAUUUUUGAUUAUGAUUACUGUAAUUUUUUGCCAAAAUGGGUUUAAAGCUAUACAAAUUUCGUUGUUUCUGUACAAAUUGAUGACUGAUAUUUUGACGAGCAUUGCAAAUUUGCAAUUUAUUUUGAUUUUGAGUAAAGGAUGUGCUAAAAAGUUAGACAAUCGCUUUGUUGACAAUUUUUGUGGUCGGCAUGAUCAAAAAUUUGUGGACGAUUGCUGGUUGUUAAAUGACAAAGUUGGCAAAACGCUAUUUUUUCAAAGCGGGAAAUUGAAAUGUUUACAAGUCAUCUAUGCCAAAUCAUUAAAUCUGUUUUUGAAAAGUCAUAUUUGUUACACAAUUGAGAAACAACAAAUGUUGAACAGGAAUCUUUUUAAAAGCAUCAAACCAAAGCUGUUGGUUUGUUUGCUUGAAAGUAAUCGUUUGCUGGACAGUUUGGCAAUAGUCAUUGUGUUAUUCAUAUUUUUGAGUUUAGUUUUCUCAAUUUGUUUGCUAAGAAAUCUUAUUCGCGGGUUGACGAAAGUGACGAAUGGAGAAUUCCAUAAUUUUAGUGUGUUGGUCAUUUGUUCAAAUCUGUGCAUUUAUUUUAUUCAAGACGAUGAUGGUCUGUCAUGGAAAUUUAGUUUAAUUUCAAAUAAUUAUGUGUGCAAUGGUACAUUGAAUGAAAAGCAGAUUAUAAACAAGUUAAACUAUAGCAUACCUAAAACUAAAACUGUUCAAGAGAAGUGUUUGACAGAUGAUCAGAUAGUAGAUGUGGAAACUCAAUGGUUUCAAUGGAUUUUUUUUGAAAGGGUUGUGAAUGAGGUAGUCUCUUUAACUUGGGACAUGCCUAGCAUUUAUUUUCAUAAUAUAGAUCAAAAUAUCUUGAUUCCAUGCAGUGUUUGCAUUAGUUCUCAAUCGAAAAUCCACAAUAGUGAUGAAUUACUUGUUGUUUCAAGGUCUAUUGGCUUUGUUCACAGGCUGAUAUGCUGGAUUUCUGUCCUGAGUUUUAGAGUUGUUUUUACAGUUUUCAUUAUAAAUGUCCUAAAACAAUUUUAUUUGUAUUUUAAACAGAUACUCGUACAACACGGUUCCCAGUGGAGCGAGGACAAGAAAACGCGAUGGCGCCUAGUAGCACGAAUCGUCGUGUUGUGGACUCGAAGGAGUUGUGCUGUUCGUGGUGAUUGGCAAUCAAAGAAGUUGCUGGUGGAGUGCAGCAAACGAAAUGACCUUCUACUGAAGACGAAAUGCGAAACAACAUGGAGAUUUCGAACGAG